rnacentral:rRNA from 1 species
UACCAGCUCUCCGAGUGGUAGGGAUGAUUAUUGGGCUUAAAGCGUCCGUAGCCGGCUUAGCAAGUCUCCUGUUAAAUUCAGCGACCUAAUCGUUGAGCCGCGGGAGAUACUACUAGGCUAGGAGGCGGGAGAGGUCAACGGUACUUCCGGGGUAGGGGUGAAAUCCUAUAACCCCGGGAGGACCACCAGUGGCGAAGGCUGUUGACUAGAACGCGCUCGACGGUGAGGGACGAAAGCUGGGGGAGCGAACCGGAUUAGAUACCCGGGUAGUCCCAGCUGUAAACGAUGCGAGCUAGGUGUUGGGGUGGCUACGUGCCACUUCAGUGCCGCAGGGAAGCCAUUAAGCUCGCCGCCUGGGGAGUACGGCCGCAAGGCUGAAACUUAAAGGAAUUGGCGGGGGAGCACCACAAGGGGUGAAGCUUGCGGUUU